rnacentral:rRNA from 1 species
AUUGAACGCUGGCGGCAGGCCUAACACAUGCAAGUCGAGCGGAUGAAGGGAGCUUGCUCCUGGAUUCAGCGGCGGACGGGUGAGUAAUGCCUAGGAAUCUGCCUGGUAGUGGGGGAUAACGUCCGGAAACGGGCGCUAAUACCGCAUACGUCCUGAGGGAGAAAGUGGGGGAUCUUCGGACCUCACGCUAUCAGAUGAGCCUAGGUCGGAUUAGCUAGUUGGCGGGGUAAAGGCCUACCAAGGCGACGAUCCGUAACUGGUCUGAGAGGAUGAUCAGUCACACUGGAACUGAGACACGGUCCAGACUCCUACGGGAGGCAGCAGUGGGGAAUAUUGGACAAUGGGCGAAAGCCUGAUUCAGCCAUGCCGCGUGUGUGAAGAAGGUCUUCGGAUUGUAAAGCACUUUAAGUUGGGAGGAAGGGCAGUAAGUUAAUACCUUGCUGUUUUGACGUUACCAACAGAAUAAGCACCGGCUAACUUCGUG